rnacentral:rRNA from 1 species
GACGAACGCUGGCGGCGUGCUUAACACAUGCAAGUCGAACGGAAAGGCCCCUUUGGGGGUACUCGAGUGGCGAACGGGAGAGUAACACGUACGUAACCUGCCCUUGACUUCGGGAUAACUUCAGGAAACUGGGGCUAAUACCGGAUAGGAAUCCUUGCUGCAUGGUGGGGGUUGGAAAGCUUCGGCGGUUUUGGAUUGACUCGCGGCUUAUCAGCUUGUUGGUGGGGUAGUGGCUUACCAAGGCGUUGACGGGUAGCCGGCCUGAGAGGGGGACCGGCCACAUUGGGACUGAGAGACGGCCCAGACGCCUACGGGAGGCAGCAGUGGGGAAUAUUGCACAAUGGGCGGAAGCCAGAUGCAGCAACGCCGCGUGCGGGAUGACGGCCUUCGGGUUGUAAACCGCUUUCAGCAGGGGCGAAGCUUGUGGUGACGGUACCUGCAGAAGAAGCACCGGCUAACUACGUG